rnacentral:rRNA from 1 species
GAUGAACGCUAGCGGCAGGCCUAACACAUGCAAGUCGAGGGGUAGCAGGAUUAAGCUUGCUUAAUUGCUGACGACCGGCGCACGGGUGCGUAACGCGUAUGCAACCUACCUUAUACUGGGGUAUAGCCCGGGGAAAUUCGGAUUAAACCACCAUAGUACUAAUGAAUCGCAUGGUUAAUUAGUUAAAGCAUUGCGGUUAAAGAUGGGCAUGCGUCCUAUUAGCUAGAUGGUGAGGUAACGGCUCACCAUGGCUACGAUAGGUAGGGGGACUGAGAGGGUGGUCCCCGACACUGGUACUGAGACACGGACCAGACUCCUACGGGAGGCAGCAGUGAGGAAUAUUGGUCAAUGGGCGCAAGCCUGAACCAGCCAUGCCGCGUGCAGGAAGAAUGCCCUAUGGGUUGUAAACUGCUUUUAUUUGGGAAUAAACCUCUUUACGUGUAGAGAGCUGAAGGUACCAAAUGAAUAAGCACCGGCUAACUCCGUGCCAGCAGCCGCCGUAA